rnacentral:tRNA from 1 species
GCAUCGGUGGUUCAGUGGUAAAAUGCUCGUCUGCCACGCGGGCGCCCCGAGUUUGAUUCCCGGCCGACGCA